UACAGAGGGUGCGAGCGUUAAUCGGAAUUACUGGGCGUAAAGCGUGCGUAGACGGUUAUUUAAGUCGGGUGUGAAGGCCCCGGGCUCAACCUGGGAAUUGCAUUCGAGACUGAAUAGCUAGGGUACGGUAGAGGGAAGCGGAAUUUCCGGUGUAGCGGUGAAAUGCGUAGAUAUCGUGAGGAACACCAGAGGCGAAGGCGACUUCCUGGACAAUUGCUGACGCUCAGGCACGAAAGCGUGGGGAGCAAAAGGG
rnacentral:rRNA from 1 species